UGCUUUGGGGUGUCAUGGAACCAAGGGGCCAUUGUGACACAGUUGAUGAGUUCUCUUAGAAGAUGUGGUUGUAGAUGCAAGGAGAAAUGAGGUCUUUCUAGAGAAAGAGCAGGGGCAGACUGCUUAUCAGAGAUGCCAUGCCAGGCUCAGGGAGAGCUGUUCCCAGCCCGAGAGCAGGAAGAGCAGCUCAGGCAGCAGGUGGAAGAGCCAUAGCAGAAUGGCCAGAACAUCAAGGCAGAGCCACAAGCAGAGCUGCCCGAAGCUCAGAGUGCCAUCAUGGCAGUGAAGAGAAAGAACAAGGAAGACAUGAGAAGAAUUCAAGAGGAGAUGAAUCUCCAUCAGCACAGGGGCGAUCAACAAAACCAGGUGAGAGAAAGAGUGGCAGCCACUCCACUCAUGAAACUUCCUCUCCAUUGUUGUUUACAAACCAUCAAGGAAGAUGUGCAGGCAGAGCUGCAGGAAUCUGAAGCUAGGAACAAGGCAAGGGAGAAGAGGCUGGAAGAAGAAAUGAAAAUC